GUACUUAACCUGGAAGGGGAGAUACCAUGAUUGCAGAAGGUGGUUUUCCCAGGGUGAGGCUUAUCCAUUGUGCUCCGGAUGUGCUGACCACUGCGAUGUCCCCAAAUGUGGGAAACUCCCCUGCAUAAUUUGUGGUAGCGAGGAACUGUGCUCUGCUCUCCCCUGGC